AGAGUUUGAUCCUGGCUCAGAGCGAACGCUGGCGGCAGGCUUAACACAUGCAAGUCGAACGGGCGUAGCAAUACGUCAGUGGCAGACGGGUGAGUAACGCGUGGGAACGUACCUUUUGGUUCGGAACAACUGAGGGAAACUUCAGCUAAUACCGGAUAAGCCCUUACGGGGAAAGAUUUAUCGCCGAAAGAUCGGCCCGCGUCUGAUUAGCUAGUUGGUGGGGUAAUGGCCCACCAAGGCGACGAUCAGUAGCUGGUCUGAGAGGAUGAUCAGCCACAUUGGGACUGAGACACGGCCCAAACUCCUACGGGAGGCAGCAGUGGGGAAUAUUGGACAAUGGGGGCAACCCUGAUCCAGCCAUGCCGCGUGAGUGAUGAAGGCCCUAGGGUUGUAAAGCUCUUUUGUGCGGGAAGAUAAUGACGGUACCGCAAGAAUAAGCCCCGGCUAACUUCGUGCCAGCAGCCGCGGUAAUACGAAGGGGGCUAGCGUUGCUCGGAAUCACUGGGCGUAAAGGGUGCGUAGGCGGGUUUCUAAGUCAGAGGUGAAAGCCUGGAGCUCAACUCCAGAACUGCCUUUGAUACUGGAAGUCUUGAGUAUGGCAGAGGUGAGUGGAACUGCGAGUGUAGAGGUGAAAUUCGUAGAUAUUCGCAAGAACACCAGUGGCGAAGGCGGCUCACUGGGCCAUUACUGACGCUGAGGCACGAAAGCGUGGGGAGCAAACAGGAUUAGAUACCCUGGUAGUCCACGCCGUAAACGAUGAA
rnacentral:rRNA from 1 species